AGAUAGGAAAAUUCCGUUCCGAAACGGGGGCAAUAAUCGCAAGUUUUGCCCGUAUUUUAUCGAAAGGGAAUCGGGUUAAUAUUCCCGAACCUGGCUACGGAGAUUGGCCCCUCGGGUCCAGU
rnacentral:rRNA from 1 species